AUUGAACGCUGGCGGCAGGCUUAACACAUGCAAGUCGAGCGGGGUGAUGGUGCCUGCACUAUCACUUAGCGGCGGACGGGUGAGUAAUGCCUAGGAAUCUGCCUGGUAGUGGGGGACAACGUUUCGAAAGGAACGCUAAUACCGCAUACGUCCUACGGGAGAAAGCAGGGGACCUUCGGGCCUUGCGCUAUCAGAUGAGCCCAGGUCGGAUUAGCUAGUUGGUGGGGUAAUGGCUCACCAAGGCGACGAUCCGUAACUGGUCUGAGAGGAUAAUCAGUCACACUGGAACUGAGACACGGUCCAGACUCCUACGGGAGGCAGCAGUGGGGAAUAUUGGACAAUGGGCGAAAGCCUGAUCAGCCAUGCCGCGUGUGUGAAGAAGGUCUUCGGAUUGUAAAGCACUUUAAGUUGGGAGGAAGGGCAGUAAGUUAAUACCUUGCUGUUUUGACGUUACCGACAGAAUAAGCACCGGCUAACUCUGUGCCAGCCGCCGCCGUAA
rnacentral:rRNA from 1 species